rnacentral:lncRNA from 1 species
CUCAAAGUCCAACUGAAAAUAUGAGUUUGGCGUUAUGACGUCGAAGUUAGGCGUCAAAGAUAAAAAUUAUAAUAGCCUUUCAAGACGUCAUAAUUAUUUGGACUAGGAUAUCGAAGUUAGGCGUCAAAGAAAAAAAUUAUAAUAGCCUUUCAAGACGUCAUAAUUAUUUGGACUAGGAUAUUUUAUAGCAGAAGACUCAUUGUGAUGGAAAAGUUUCAGAGAUUGUACUGUCUGAUGCUCCUAUCGUUCGGUAGGUAAAUACAUUAGCCCUGUUCGUUUAAAAUGUAAAAUGUUAUUUUUCUCUCGAAAACGUACCGUACGUAAAUAAAUUGGAGCUUUUCAUAGAACAUACUUGAGAACUUCGUUGAAAUGAUCCCAAAAUUUUAGCUUGAUCUGGCUUUCUAAUGCAUAGCGCGAACCAGGCAAACUAUAGAUGUUGAUGCUUUUUAUGGAAUUAGUCUACAACGUCACUUUGUGCUUUGUAACGUUUCCUCAUUUGACGAUUUGUGUAAUUCCGUGAAAAUGAAAGGCAUUUGUGUUGCCCAAAAUGUAAACAAUCAUAGCAAAAAGUAUGGCAGCCCGGCACCAAAGAAGCCGUGUAUGUUUGAUAGUUAUUACUUUGAGAUUGUUAAAAGUAAUAAAGAAACAUCCACGCCAAAUUAAAACAGCAUACUCUAUGUAAGAGGGGGAUAGGACCUUUAUCAGGACUCCGGGAUCGGGUGUUUUUAAGCUCGGGAUUUUGGGAUUGACCCUUUCGGGAUCCGGGAAUUCUUUUUUUCGAAUUUCGGGACGUCGAUUUACUUUAUUUAAAUUCGGGACCUCGGAUUUCGUGUUUUAAGCCCGGGAUUUCGGGAUCAGGACCCCUCCUAUCCCCCCUCUUGUAAUGUCUGAUUGAAACGCAGACCCGAGUUGUUUGUCAGACUGUCUAUUUAUAUCACAAGAAACUAUAGUCUAUUUCUCUUUUAACUUUCACUUUACUGUCUUUAGACUCGGGGAUGUGUGCUAUUUUACGAGAACCACCAAAGAGUUGAGGCAGUGAUUGUUGGACCUCACACUACAACACACAGCAGUUAAAUAUGCCACCUUCAAUUUUUUGCUAUAUGAUUCAGAUAGAACUACCAACAAAAAAUUUUAAAAAAAAUUUUUGAAGGCAUUUUUUUUUUUGCUUCAAGAAAACAGUAUCAUCAGACUCAGAUUUAACACAGCUGUAUUUGUUUAACAAAUUCGUUUUCAUGAAGUGUUCUCCUUUUUGAUAAUAUAAACAAGUAUUUGUUUGUCCUUGUAAAUAUUAGGUGAAUUGCUAAGAUACAGAAUAUAUUUUAAAAACAUGUGCACUUUUAAAAAGAGACCACAAAAACUUUUUUAUUACAUAUAUGCUAUAAUUAAUCUUGAGAUAAAAUUAUUAUAAUUUCUGUUAAGAUUAAAUACCAGCCACUGUACAAAAUGCAUGAGAAUUAAGAAAAUAUGAUGAUGCUAUUUGAUUUUUUAAUUAUUUGUAAGUAAUACUACAUUGUAUGCUUUAUAUUUAUAUUUUUGUCAAUACAUGUAUCAAAUAUUUACUAUAUUAAAAGCAAGUCCCCGAGUGCAAAAAACACAACAUCUAAAGGUGUCCAAUUUUUAAUUAUUCUGUCACAUGUGUGAUUUAUGUCAAUGGUUAAUUGGUGUUUAAUGCCACUUUCAGCAUUAUGUACUAUUUCGUAGUAGUUGGUUUUUAUUGGUUGAGUGAGAAAAUAAUGCUUGAAGAGAACUAAGAUCCAAGAUAGUAAAUCUGACAGGCUAGCUAAGUCAAUUAAGAUUGUAGUCAAACUGAAAGACUAAGUGUGUGCUUCGAAAUUCACAACCUUUGUGUUGACAGGAUAGUGAUAGAGAAGUUAUUUACUUAAGACUAUUUAGCCACUGAAACCAAUUUCAAUGAAACAGUAACACAACAAUGUGACAUAGACAAAAAUACAGUCUUUAUCUACAUGUAUAGCACAAGUUAAAUAAAAAAUUGCUGAGUUUCCGUUUUCUUACUUUAGUUUGCUUCAACACGUUCAAACAAAUGUUAUAAAACGAAUAGGUACACAAUGCUUAUAACCACAAAAUACAGAUCAUGUUUAAAAUUGGGUGGUGUCACUUUUACCGUCUAUGACUUUAUAUGUUCCUUUAUAAAUGAAGCAAUUACUUAAUCUGUUGGUUACUUUUCUUCCUCUUGUUUGCUUCAACUAAAUGUUAUGAAAUUUAUACACAAUGCUUAUAAUUACAUAAGGGCCUUAAUGAAAUUAAUCCUGCAUCUGUAUGCGGAAGUUGACUGCCUCUGGUGCAUAUUGUUACAGGCAGGGUAUUUGCGGCCCCAAAACACAUUCUCAAUUUAAUUAAACCAUGUUCAUUUACAAGAAUAGCCUAGUAUAGAAAAACCUCCUGUCUGAAAUCGCCUUCAAUAUAUUUUUUUAAAUCAACUUUGAAUUAAUUUGAACAAUUAACUAAAUUGAAGAAGCGGGGCUGUUAUGUUUACAAUGUAUACGGAUCACCAAUUUGAAAAAAAAUAUUCUGAAUGCUCAGAUUUUUUUCUUUUUCUUUCCCCCAUUUCCAUUACAAUAAGGUAGUGUUAUAAAUAAAAAAAUAAAAAUAAUCUGAUUAAUCGUGUCAAAAAACUAAAUAAAUUUGUUUGUGCUUUGCACGUACAAUAUUUUUGACUAAGAAGAGAAAACCAAGAAUUUAUAUGCCCCACUUACGAUAGUAGAGGGGUAUUAUGUUUUCUGGUCUGAUCGUCCGUUUGUAAGAUUGCUGUGCUGUCCCUUUUCAGGUUAAAGUUUUUGGUCAAGGUAGUUUUUGAUGAAAUUGAAGUCCAAUCAAUUUGAAAUAUAGUUCACAUGUUCCCUAUGAUAUGAUCUUUCUAAUUUUAAUGCCAAAUUAGAUGUUUGACCCCAAUUUCACGGUCCACUCACUGAACAUACAUGUAGAAAAUGAUAGUGUGAGUGAGGCAUCCAUGUACUUAUUGACACAUUCUUGUUAGAUUUGUAUUGUUUAGUUGCUUCAUUACUGAUGUAUUAUAUCAUUUAACCCAUCAUUGGAUUUUUUUUCAUAUUUUUAUAUGGUUAUUCUCUUUUUUGUGACCUGUUAUGAGAACACACACAAUCAUGCACAUAAAAAAACCUCAUAUACAUUUUUGAAAGUAUUUGAUACAUUUGAAUUAUUUCAAUUGAGUAUUUUUUUUAUUUUUGAAGUAGAAUGGAGAAUUAUCCUUGCCUAGUUGACCAGGCUCUACUG